UUUAUUCUUGGUAACAAAAAUAUUAUAAUAUGAGGUUAAAAAUAUGUAACACAAGCAAAAAAACAAAAUUAAAAUAUAAAACAAAAAUAUUACAGGUACAAAUAUCAGAUCAGCUGAUCUUAAAACAAAAACUAUAAAAACAAAUGACCAGAUUGUAUAUAGACACAUUAUUUUUAUAAAUUGAAUCAAAAACUUCAAAGAGGACUAAAUAAUAUCUACUAAAUAUAUCAAAUGGUUUUGAAGUGAUCAUGUAGACUUUAAGACAUUACUUACAGAAUAUAUUUCAUUAACAAAAUUCUGAAAAUUAAUGCAAAAUUCCAUGACAAGGUUAGCCCUGGAUUCUGCUGGAUUUCAAAUCUUAUAUGGGAAUAGAUACUAGAAAAAAUAAUAACGUUAAAGAAACCUAAAGGAUUCAAAUUUAAUGUGUUCAUCACCAAAUGAUUUUUUAUGGUUUAAAAAAAACGAAAAAUUAUAAGUGGGGCAAUUUUUUUCAUUUGACAAGUCGCAAGUCUGCAAUAUACAAUAUCGUUAGCUACUGAGAAUUUGUAAUUAUUUCAGAUUCUGGGAGAACAGCUUUAAUAUGAGAACAUUUAGAUUAAUUUCUUAUUAUUAAUAUCCUUAACACUUUGGACAAGCCUGUUAAACGUCAACAUUAAUAAUUAGAAAAAUAAAGUGCUAUUGUAUAUACAAUAUGAUCUUUUUGGCAGAUUAUGUUCGGGAGAGGAUCAAUUUCACCAUUGUCUGAAUACAUUAAGAAGUUAAAAUAAUAAAUGCAACAAUGAUAUAAAGGGUAACCAACAUAUCAAAUACCCGUAAAAACUAGUACAGGAUUAAACAUCUAUUAUAAAGCAUUUUAAUACUGACUGAUAUUAUAUAACAAAGUGAUGAUACCCCUUUGAUGUUUAGAGGGUUCAAAAGGUCACCUGAUCAAAUAUUUGACCAUAAUAAUUAAGGCAAGUACAUUCUAUAAAUUACUACAUAUGGUGCUUUGCAUCAUUUUUAAUAACACAGUUUAUAAAAGUAAUCAUUUGGUUAAUGCCCACAAAGCAAGCAUCUAGCUUGGGAGAAGAAAAAAAAUGUCCAGGUUGUUCUGUCAGUUGUAACUGUUUUAUUUUCGUGUCUCUGAUUAUGUCGCUUCUUGAAGAUGAAUCAAACAUAAGGAAUUAUUUUUGUGAAUUAAAUCAAAAUAAUGCCCUCAUCAUAAUUUCUCACUUUACCUUUCUGUAAAUUCAAAAAUUACUGCGUGCAUUUUUUAUGGCGAUUUUUGAAGAAUUGACAAUAAUGCAAGAUUAUUUAUUGCGAUUUCAGAUAAAGCUACAUGCAGAUGUAUGCAUCAGAUAUCAGAAUAUGAGUUCUUACUUUUGCGCUGCUCAAACAGUCGCAAUAUUCAGAUUAAUUAAAACCUCACAAUAAUUUCUGAAUUUACAGUAUCUAAAUACAUAUAGUGUAUAUGUACAUUUUAUACAGUUAUAUAUAUCUUGCCUCUACAAAACAGAUAACAAAAAUAACUAAGAAACACAUACAUGUACAUUUUACAGUUAUUUAUCUUGCCUCUACAAAACAGAUAACAAAAAUAACUAAGAAACACAUACAUGUACAUUUUACAGUUAUUUAUCUUGCCUCUACAAAACAGAUAACAAAAAUAACUAAGAAACACAUACAUGUACAUUUUACAGUUAUUUAUCUUGCCUCUACAAAACAGAUAACAAAAAUAACUAAGAAA
rnacentral:lncRNA from 1 species